GACGAACGCUGGCGGCGUGCCUAAUACAUGCAAGUUGAGCGCUGAAGGUUGGUACUUGUACCAACUGGAUGAGCAGCGAACGGGUGAGUAACGCGUGGGGAAUCUGCCUUUGAGCGGGGGACAACAUUUGGAAACGAAUGCUAAUACCGCAUAAAAACUUUAAACACAAGUUUUAAGUUUGAAAGAUGCAAUUGCAUCACUCAAAGAUGAUCCCGCGUUGUAUUAGCUAGUUGGUGAGGUAAAGGCUCACCAAGGCGAUGAUACAUAGCCGACCUGAGAGGGUGAUCGGCCACAUUGGGACUGAGACACGGCCCAAACGCCUACGGGAGGCAGCAGUAGGGAAUCUUCGGCAAUGGACGAAAGUCUGACCGAGCAACGCCGCGUGAGUGAAGAAGGUUUUCGGAUCGUAAAACUCUGUUGGUAGAGAAGAACGUUGGUGAGGGUGGAAAGCUCAUCAAGUGACGGUAACUACACAGAAAGGGACGGCUAACUACGUG
rnacentral:rRNA from 1 species